AAAACGUUCACGAUUACAGAUUCGUUUCAUUAAACAUUUUCUUAACUCCAUCCACCACAAUCUGGCCUUGAAUGUGAGCUUCUCUUCUAAGAGGCGGUGUUGCUGCUAAUAUAAAAAGUUGAGGUCAGGUUGCUGCGUUGAUUUCCUCUCCUUGACAAAGGGAAACAUGAACGGUUAGUGGCUGCACUCAAUCGAUUCGUUUGGGUUUCUUCUUAAAUCGUUAUGGACGUCAAUACGCUUCUCCUUGAAGCCAAGAUGAUGAUUUAAAGUCAAAGUCUUUACAAACUGGGUUUGUCUCUGUAAAUGGUCUUGGCGAUAAGAAGAGCUUUGGUUGCGGUUUCUGUAUUACAGUCAAGAGAUUGCCACGUAUAAAAGAAUUACUAAUGCUCUGCUUCAGAGAAGGUAUGAAGAUACAUAUGGGGAAAUUCAUUGAUGGUACUGUACUAAGAUAAAGGCUGCUUAGUAUAUUAAGACGAGAGUCUGUAGUGGGGACAGGAUAUUACUAAAGAAGACAAAUCUCAGCUAUGCCCAACAGAGUGGUUAUUCCGUUUUGAUAUUGUAAAUAAAUGGAAAGAGUCUUCAACGGUUUCAGUGCUGCCCAAAUGUUUAGAGGAUAUCAAGAUGUCUGGUACGGCCUUACUGGGGAGAAGAGCAUUGUCUUUAAGCCAAUAUACUUUGUUUUGGGAUCUUCUCGAGAUUCCUUUUGUCAAAAAGAGGAAUAGAAUUAUUUUGGUUCAAUGGAAAAUUAGCUCAGAAGUCCAGUGAGAAAGUGUUGAAGGAUUCAAUGAAACCAUCACAAAACAGUUCUAAGGUAAUUUUGUUACUUCAUAAAUUGGUCUAAACAAGCAGAAGAAGAAGGCUAAAGGGAAACCGGAACAUUAUCUUCUGGUUGGAGACAAAAGGCGUGGAAUGCAUUGGAUUGCUUGCUGCAAGAAAUUUUUAUGUCUAAUAAACCAGAGGAGAAGAAGGUGGUCAAGUAAAGUGAUGGAAGAUCUAACUCCAAUGAUGGAGCUAGAAUAGGAGGAAGCUUUAUGCUUGGAUCAACAAGUUCUGCAACCAAGUCUCCACCCACAAGUGUAGACAAGAUAAUCAGUUUUUAUGUUUUUUUGUAUUUAUUAUUUGAUCCCAAUAAUCCAGAAACUACAGUUGAUAGUGACG